ACAAAUAACAGCAUACAGGUUCCCCCCCCCCCACCCCAUCAUGUACAGCUGAAUCACGUAGAAUUUGAAGAUCAAGAUGAUGAAGCCAGAGUUCAGUAUGAGGGUUUUCGACCUGGGAUAUGCGUCUGAAGAAACAUCUCUGGUAUAAGAAAAUCCUCAAGUCCCAAGAUCCAAUCAUAUUUUCUGUAGGGUGGAGGAGGUUUCAGACCAUCCUGCUCUAUUAUAUCGAAGACCACAAUGGAAGACAAAGGCUUCUAAACCUAUCACUCCACAGGGAACUGGUUUCUUGGCAAUACAGUCUGUCAGUGGCAUAAUGCCUGAUUUUCAGAUAGCUGCCACAGGAGUUGUCCUUGAUCUGGAUAAAUCCAUAAAAAUUGUGAAGAAAUUAAAGCUAACUGGUUUUCCAUAUAAAAUUUUCAAGAACACUUCAUUUAUUAAGGGAAUGUUUAAUUCUGCCUUGGAAGUGGCCAAAUUUGAAGAUGCUGUGAUUCGAACUGUCAGUGGGAUAAGGGGGCAGAUCAAGAGAGCACUCUGAGCUCCAGAAGGAGCUUUCCAGGAUAGCUUUGAGGAUAAGCUGCGGAUGAGCGAUAUUGUCUUCAUGCGAACUUGGUAUCCUGUUUCCAUCCCAGCCUUCUAUAACCCAGUAACAUCUUUGUUGAAACCAGUGGGUGAGAAAGACACCUGGUCAGGAAUGUGGACCACGGGCCAACUCAGGCUCGCCCAUGGUGUCAGACUAAAGACAAACAAGGACUCUCUGUAUAAG
rnacentral:lncRNA from 1 species